CUCCACUUGAGAGUGGCUAUAGGCGAUCAGAUUUUAUGAGAGGAAAAUAUUUAUCGUAAACAGUUUCAAACUCCCAGACGAAAACUGCAGUGUUAUCACGACUUAUAUUGUGCCUUGUAUCGGUGUCUAGUGACCUUAUGAAUCUCGCCACCGGUCCGGAUUCAGAGAAAGAGAGGACGCACAAAAGGUCCACAAAUCCACUGGAGCGCCGUGCGUAUUUUUCAGCCAAACCCCCCUCACACCGCCAUCGGUGCGCGUUUGGAUACAAAUCUCAUCUGGUGUCUAUGUCCCCCCCACCGUGUCACACGCGCCUCUGGAGAACUGCUGACAGACGGCGGCAGCACUGGCAACGAGACAACUUAGUUCUUAAGAAAUAUAAUAUUCUUCUUCGAAUAUGAGACUGAAGCGGCUACGAUGGACACUUUUUGCAGUGCAGCAGGUGUGGCCUCUCACCAGCUCCUGACCCCGCCCACCUGUCCAGGGAAUCGCCCGGCAGCUGUCGCCUAGCAACCCUUUGCCGUCUCCACGCGGGCUCCUCACGAGCGAGCCAGAAGCCUGUUGUUUUCCCAACACAUGAGUACACAUCCCUCGUAUAGUCAAGCUGGGAACAGCAGAGAGAGGGGGCCCCUGCAGGACAGUGCAAGUGCAAUGCAAACAGAAAAGGAGUGUACAUUUUUAGUAGGUUAUGAAAAAGAUACGGACGCUGGGUUUGUGAGGAAGAGCUAUGUCCCACAAUAGCUUUUCCCAAAAAAGUUUUUUCCUUUGCAUGUUUUACAUCCUCCGAUUUGUGAAACUAGACAUUUGUAAAAUGUCAUAUAGAG